rnacentral:rRNA from 1 species
GGAAUAUUGGACAAUGGGCGAAAGCCUGAUCCAGCAAUGCCGCGUGAGUGAUGAAGGCCUUAGGGUUGUAAAGCUCUUUUACCAGGGAUGAUAAUGACAGUACCUGGAGAAUAAGCUCCGGCUAACUCCGUGCCAGCAGCCGCGGUAAUACGGAGGGAGCUAGCGUUGUUCGGAAUUACUGGGCGUAAAGAGUACGUAGGCGGUGAUUCAAGUCAGAGGUGAAAGCCUGGAGCUCAACUCCAGAACUGCCUUUGAAACUACAUCGCUAGAAUUGUGGAGAGGUUAGUGGAAUUCCGAGUGUAGAGGUGAAAUUCGUAGAUAUUCGGAAGAACACCAGUGGCGAAGGCGACUAACUGGACACAUAUUGACGCUGAGGUACGAAAGCGUGGGGAGCAAACAGGAUUAGAUACCCUGGUAGUCCACGCCGUAAACGAUGAUAACUAGCUGUUCGGGGUCUACGAUCCUGAGUGGCGCAGCUAACGCAUUAAGUUAUCCGCCUGGGGAGUACGGUCGCAAGAUUAAAACUCAAAUGAAUUGACGG